rnacentral:rRNA from 1 species
UCAAGUAAUUAAGUGCAUGUGGUGGAUGCCUUGGCAGUCAGAGGCGAUGAAAGACGUGAUAGCCUGCGAAAAGCUCCGGGGAGGCGGCAAAUAUCCUUUGAUCCGGAGAUGUCUGAAUGGGGGAACCCACCUACUUUAAGGUAGGUAUUGCAACAUGAAUACAUAGUGUUGCAAGGCGAACGAGGGGAAGUGAAACAUCUCAGUACCCUUAGGAAAAGAAAUCAAUUGAGAUUCCCUCAGUAGCGGCGAGCGAACGGGGAUCAGCCCAUUAAGUUAUGUGUGUUUUAGUGGAACGCUCUGGGAAGUGCGAACGUAGAGGGUGAUAUUCCCGUACACGAAAGGGCACACAUAAUGAUGACGAGUAGGGCGAGGCACGUGAAACCUUGUCUGAAUAUGGGGGGACCAUCCUCCAAGGCUAAAUACUCCUGACUGACCGAUAGUGAACCAGUACCGUGAGGGAAAGGCGAAAAGAACCCCUGUGAGGGGAGUGAAAUAGAUCCUGAAACCGCAUGCAUACAAGCAGUGGGAGCACCUUCGUGGUGUGACUGCGUACCUUUUGUAUAAUGGGUCAGCGACUUAUAUUCAGUAGCGAGGUUAACCGUAUAGGGGAGCCGUAGAGAAAUCGAGUCUUAAUAGGGCGUUUAGUUGCUGGGUAUAGACCCGAAACCAGGCGAUCUAUCCAUGAGCAGGUUGAAGGUUGGGUAACACUAACUGGAGGACCGAACCCACUGUCGUUGAAAAGCCAGGGGAUGACUUGUGGAUAGGGGUGAAAGGCUAAUCAAGCCUGGUGAUAGCUGGUUCUCCCCGAAAGCUAUUUAGGUAGCGCCUCGGACGAAUACCAUAGGGGGUAGAGCACUGUUUCGGCUAGGGGGUCAUCCCGACUUACCAAACCGAUGCAAACUCCGAAUACCUAUGAGUACUAUCCGGGAGACAGACUGCGGGUGCUAACGUCCGUAGUCAAGAGGAAAACAAUCCAGACCGCCAGCUAAGGCCCCAAAAUCAUAGUUAAGUGGGAAACGAUGUGGGAAGGCAUAGACAGCUAGGAGGUUGGCUUAGAAGCAGCCACCCUUUAAAGAAAGCGUAAUAGCUCACUAGUCGAGUCGGCCUGCGCGGAAGAUGUAACGGGGCUAAAACUAUGUGCCGAAGCUGCGGAUGUAUACUUUGUAUACGUGGUAGGGGAGCGUUCUGUAAGCCGAUGAAGGUGUGUUGAGAAGCAUGCUGGAGGUAUCAGAAGUGCGAAUGCUGACGUGAGUAACGACAAAACGGGUGAAAAACCCGUUCGCCGAAAGACCAAGGGUUCCAGUCCAACGUUAAUCGGGGCUGGGUGAGUCGACCCCUAAGGCGAGGCCGAAAGGCGUAGUCGAUGGGAAAAUGGUUAAUAUUCCAUUACUUCUGUGUAAUGCGAUGAGAGGACGGAGAAGGCUAAAUCAGCCUGGCGUUGGUUGUCCAGGUGAAAGGAUGUAGGCAUGUAUCUUAGGCAAAUCCGGGGUACUCUAUGCUGAGAUCUGAUAGCAAGCUGUACUUGUACAGCGAAGUGGUUGAUGCCAUGCUUCCAGGAAAAGUCUCUAAGCUUCAGUUACACAGGAAUCGUACCCGAAACCGACACAGGUGGUCAGGUCGAGUAGACCAAGGCGCUUGAGAGAACUCUGCUGAAGGAACUAGGCAAAAUGGUACCGUAACUUCGGGAGAAGGUACGCUGUUGUUGGUGAUGGAACUCGCUUCCUGAGCUGACGACAGCCGCAGAAACCAGGCCGCUGCAACUGUUUAUUAAAAACAUAGCACUCUGCAAACACGAAAGUGGACGUAUAGGGUGUGAUGCCUGCCCGGUGCUGGAAGGUUAAUUGAUGGGGUUAGCGUAAGCGAAGCUCUUGAUCGAAGCCCCAGUAAACGGCGGCCGUAACUAUAACGGUCCUAAGGUAGCGAAAUUCCUUGUCGGGUAAGUUCCGACCUGCACGAAUGGCAUAAUGAUGGCGGCGCUGUCUCCAGCAGAGGCUCAGUGAAAUCGAAAUCGCUGUGAAGAUGCAGUGUACCCGCGGCUAGACGGAAAGACCCCGUGAACCUUUACUGCAGCUUGACACUGAACUUUGACCUUACUUGUGUAGGAUAGGUGGGAGGCUUUGAAGCUGGAACGCUAGUUCCAGUGGAGCCGUCCUUGAAAUACCACCCUGGUAAUGUUGAGGUUCUAACUCUGUCCCGUGAUCCGGGACGAGGACCGUGUCUGGUGGGUAGUUUGACUGGGGCGGUCUCCUCCUAAAGAGUAACGGAGGAGUACGAAGGUGCGCUCAGCGUGGUCGGAAAUCACGCGUAGAGUAUAAAGGCAAAAGCGCGCUUAACUGCGAGACCCACAAGUCGAGCAGGUACGAAAGUAGGUCUUAGUGAUCCGGUGGUUCUGUAUGGAAGGGCCAUCGCUCAACGGAUAAAAGGUACUCUGGGGAUAACAGGCUGAUACCGCCCAAGAGUUCAUAUCGACGGCGGUGUUUGGCACCUCGAUGUCGGCUCAUCUCAUCCUGGGGCUGAAGCAGGUCCCAAGGGUAUGGCUGUUCGCCAUUUAAAGAGGUACGCGAGCUGGGUUUAGAACGUCGUGAGACAGUUCGGUCCCUAUCUACCGUGGGCGCUGGAAAUUUGAGAGGAUCUGCUCCUAGUACGAGAGGACCAGAGUGGACGAACCUCUGGUGUACCGGUUGUGACGCCAGUCGCAUCGCCGGGUAGCUAUGUUCGGAAGGGAUAACCGCUGAAAGCAUCUAAGCGGGAAGCCUACCUCAAGAUAAGAUUUCCCUAGGACUUUAUGUCCUCUAAAGAGCCGUUCGAGACUAGGACGUUGAUAGGUUGGAUGUGGAAGCA